GACGAGUCUCACAAACGUUAUUCGGAAUUACUGGGCGUAAAGCGUGCGCAGGCGGUUCGCCAAGUCAGGUGUGAAAUCCCCGGGCUUAACCUGGGAAUUGCGCUUGAAACUAGCGGGCUUGAGUGCGGCAGAGGGGGGUGGAAUUCCACGUGUAGCAGUGAAAUGCGUAGAGAUGUGGAGGAACACCGAUGGCGAAGGCAGCCCCCUGGGUCGACACUGACGCUCAUGCACGAAAGCGUGGGGAGCAAACAGG
rnacentral:rRNA from 1 species